CUCCGGUGUCACUGUGGUGGCGUUGUGCCGACUCCACAAAAUCCUAUUUUAAAGGGAUUUUAAUACCCUACUAUUUACAGAACUCUCCUCCUUUACGUCGAAACAUCAACAAAAAUAUGGACAAAGCGGCCCCUCCCGUCCCCGCCCGUCCUCCCCCCAUUGGGUCACUGGGUCCCCUUCUACCUUUCAAACAUUUCUAAAAACCAAGUACUGUGGUAGUAAAUUGCCCUCUAUAGCCCCCCCGUGACCCCGCUGUUCACCCACCAUCACCCUCACAAUAGCAGCUCUAGCACAGGCGCACACAUUUAAGUGUACCCACACAACCACACACACACAGAUGAAUGUAUUCUUUGUUUUCCCGAUGAACAAGCUGCAUUCUGAACAGCGUCCUCGUCCGCAGAAACUUUUCUCCAGGUGGCUCAAAACGCGUUUUCAGAGCGGGACACGGGGGAAGAAGGAAAAAAAGCAACGAAUAUUUGGCUUUUCCCAAGGAAGCAAGAACCGACCACUCAGGGCGGAUUCUCUCCCGGGACGACUCUCCUGGCAGCAGCAGCUUGUUUCGCCCGGCGAACCGAAUGUUGUCCGCGAGGAGGGCGGGGGUUGCCUUAUCAAAGGGUUUUUCAACAAGAAACAUAUUCCAGAUGUUAGAAGUGUUGUGGUAAAAUGUGAUGAGCACCGCCAGCGUGGUGAAAAGAGGCCGCGUGUUUAUGUGAACACCGGAGGCCGAGCGCUGCUGUUUGGCGCGUACGGGAGAGCGAACGCUUCAACUCAGCGGAUUACGGGUCGAGCCUGCUGGACGCAUUCACAGUACCGACCGAUUAAUGGUCACAAAUGCGUGCGAGGACUUUUUGAAACGGAACAGACGGCCUCGAGGAAAACGAACGCUGAAAACGUGUCUGGUGAAUGGAAACACUGUAUAAACUCUUUUCUCUGUUAUUCUCUGCUACGGUGAGUUCAGAAUGCUCAAGUCAUUAAGCCCGGUUAAAGCCAUAAUCGCGGGAUAGUGAAAUCACCACAGCUGCUUGUAGCACUGCAAAAAAAAAAAGAAAGAAAAAGCACAUUUGUUUGUGUGGUUUCAAAAAAAAAGAGAAUGCCCUCUCCUCACACUGCAGCAGCUACGACGAAGCGUCCAGCUCCAGACGGGCCGUGGUCGUUUCUGCGUUACACGUCCCAGAUUGUGGCUUUAACUUAACAACAGCCUUAAGAACAUUCAAUUUUUUUCAUUACUCUUUUUAACCGAAGCGUUGCUUGGAAAAUCAAAGAAUUUCCUCCUUUCUUAGCUUAUACUUUCCUGGCUGCAAUUUUUAUAAUUGCUGGAUUCUUAAGCCUCACUUGAGCAUUCUUUGAGUAACAGUAAUACCAACGUAGCGAUGUAUUAUACUACUGUUUCUUCUCUUCUUUUCGUUCUUUUCCCGGUUCUGUUUGUGAACAAUAAUGGCCUGAAUUCCUCACGUGUCGGAGAGCAGCGGAGCUCGUCUGGAAUCGGACGACAAGGCGCCGGUCGACGCCGCCACCCCCCCCCGGCCCGGCGCCGCCGCUGCUCCUUGAGGCGCGAGGAAAGAAAAAUAAACUGUUUUUUGAAACUACAAUGCCUAGAAAGUGGAAAUAAACAGAGGUCCUACUGACGACAGACAGAAACACUGGAGCAUGAUGCGAGGGAAUCCUCGGCGCUUGCGUGUGUUGCCAUAGGAUCUCUGCCAGCUUUUCUUUCUUUUCUUGUCAAAAAAAAAACAAACAUAAAUGAGCACAAUAAAAUAGCUUUUCUUUCACCGUCUCCUUUCCUGGAGAAACCACACCUGCGGCAGAUGUUUCAAACACACUCGGGGCUUUUCACAUUUCAAAAGCAGAAGUAUCUGCAGGCGUUGAGCGGUAAGAAAAGAACGUUUUUGGUGCCAGGUUUUAAGAUAUUAGUCUCUGGUUUUUGGUUCCGCCUAAACAGACCUGCAGGGGAGACUUUCGGCCAAAUGACGGGAAAACGGCAAGUUUUGCUGGACAAAGUGGAAUAUUAACAAAAUGAUGCGGCUUGACGGGGAGGUAAUAAAUCCUUUUGGAGACUAACAAGCCAGAAACAGGUCAGAACCAGUAGCAUAAUAGCGUCAUAUGAACUGAUUGUCACACAUUACAGCACUUACAGGGGUUCCCCUUUACCCCCACACAAAUAAAUUGUAGAAAUAGGCAAACUAGUUCCAUAGUUAUUACACUUUUUAUCACGGGUGUGCUAUCGGAUCAGAGGCCAAAAAAGAGGCUUUUCUGCAAAAGGGGCCACAAAUAGAAUGUGAGGAAAGUCACGCGUGUGGAAACUGGUUUCGCAGAGUGUCUUAUGCAAGUCACGCAGAGUUCAAUGACCGUUGCUUCUACACGUGAAUCGAAAUCAAGUUUGUAGUUUUAUAGCAAAAAACAACAUGAAAACAUCACAAUAACUAAUUGUAAUUGGUUAAUCCACAUCCGUGGGAAGUCUUUGGCUCCCAGUUAAAUAUAAUCCGCUUAAAAUCACAUAUAUUUUUAUCUAUACUAUUUAUGUCCGAGCUAAAUCCGGGGCCGGGUGGCGCCGCAGGAAAACCGACGGACGGACCCGAGGCUCCGACUUCAAGAGAUGCUUCAAAGGAGGGAAAAUGAAGUGAUGUCAUAGUACACAGUGUUGCGUUGUGGAUGAAAGGCCCGCUCGCAGCGUGUCCUUGGUGGGAUGAAUUAUAAUCGUUGCUUCGCUGGAUUUUUAUUUGACUGCAGCGACUGAUCCCUCUAAAGAGGAGUGUUCGCGCUCCGGAAAAAAUUGGCGUUUCAAUAGGCCGAGAAAAUGUGUCAUUUAAAAUAGCUUGUUUGUACGAAAGAAGUAUGACGCUGAGUGACUGCAGCAACGUCAGGAUGUUUGUUGUGCCGGGACAAAAAGGGUCGAGGACGUUGAAGUUCGAACCGUCAGCCGCUUAAACCGUGGCCAUGUGACGCGCGGGAGACCUUCAGUCAGCAGAAGGUGUCCCGACACGCAGCCGUUCACAGUCACACCUUCUCACCUCGUCCAGAGACCUUUAGUGAGAAGCCUCUCUGCAGGUAAGUGAGACGCUCCCUGAGAGGCCUGGAGACAACUACCACAUGUGAUAAAACUACAGUAGAACCCACGAUGAGAAUGUUAAAUGGCUAAUGACGACAGUGAAACGUUGGAGAGAUAAAUAAGAAAAUAAAAAGCUUUAAUUGGAGAAGAAGCAGGACUUUGUUCUUGAGAAGUCGCUGCACUAUUUUCACCGACACAUAAAGUGAGGAUCCAGGGGUUUUGGAGCUUGACCCACAUUAGAGACUUACAGUACAGUUAAGAUUUCAAUGAAAAUAUUGCUGUUGUCAGCUAUAGUUUCCCACAAUGCUGAGUUUAAAAAAAAAAUAUGAAAGAUUAUCUUAAGUGCUUGAAAGUUUGACCUUUCGGGGAAUAAGCUCAUUCCCUUUCUUACCA
ensembl:lncRNA